rnacentral:rRNA from 1 species
AGUGAACGCUGGCGGUAUGCCUAACACAUGCAAGUCGAACGGCAGCACAGUAAGAGCUUGCUCUUACGGGUGGCGAGUGGCGGACGGGUGAGGAAUACAUCGGAAUCUACUUUUUCGUGGGGGAUAACGGAGGGAAACUGACGCUAAUACCUCAUACGACCUACGGGUGAAAGCAGGGGAUCUUCAGACCUUGCGCGAUUGAAUGAGCCGGCGUCGGAUUAGCUAGUUGGCGGGGUAAAGGCCCACCAAGGCGACGAUCCGUAGCUGGUCUGAGAGGAUGAUCAGCCACACUGGAACUGAGACACGGUCCAGACUCCUACGGGAGGCAGCAGUGGGGAAUCUUCGGCAAUGGGCGAAAGCCUGAUCCAGCAAUGCCGCGUGGGUGAAGAAGGUCUUCGGGUCGUAAAGCCCUGUUGUUGGGAAAGAAAAGCAGCAGGUUAAUCCCUGGCUGUUCUGACGGUACCCAAAGAAUAAGCACCGGCUAACUUCGUG